GAGGGAUUCGGUGGUGCACGUGCCCGCCUCUAGCAACUUUGACGGACGGUCGAUCAGAGCUCAUAACUCAGAAGGUGGCUUUCUUGAGCGAGGUGAUGGUGACCGACGACCCCAGCGCGGAGGCGCCGACCUGGACGUCGAAGGAGUCGUAGCGGAGGAAGAGCUCGGCGACGAGAAGGCGCGCGAUGAGCACGACGAAGUCCUUGCCGGCGCACUGCUUGUCCUGCAGCGUGGGCGACGCCGUCUCGGGCCCGUUGGACCAGACGACGUGGCGGAGCAGCUGCGCGCCGUCCUCCCCGAGGAACCUGUCGGGCACGUACUCCUCGGCGCGCGCGAAGACGCGCGGGUCCUUGGUGGCCAUGGGCUGGUAGCCGAAGAGCAUCUCGCCCUCGCGCACCUCGAAGCCGUAGUCGUGGCUCUCCACCACCAUGUCCCGCUUGGCGCGGCCGUACUGCAUGGCCACGGGGGGCUCGAUGCGCAGCGCCUCGUACACGGCCGACUCCACCAGCGGCAUCUCCGCCAGCGCCUUCAUGGUGACCUCGCCGGCGUGGGCGCGCACGGCGUCGCGCACCUCCGUGGCCAGCCGGCCGUGCGCGCGCGCGCCGGCGCGGCCCAGCCACUUGACGAGCGACGGGAACAGGAUUUUCAUGCCGCCGAAGGAGUUGAAGCACGUGGCGAAGAGGAUGUUGUGCACCGCCUCCUCCCGCGCAAUGCCGAGGCGCUCGCCCUCGUCGACCACGCUCCUGGCCGCGUCGCGGAAGAAGUCGGCGAGCCGGCCGUAGUCCUUCCUGACCAGCGCCGGCGGGAGGCGGAACGAGUGGAGCAGGGAGUCCUCGAGGUGCUUGGGCAGGCCGAGGCUGAGCAGCGGGCUGAGCUGGAACAGCACCCACUUGGUGAUCAGCUUGGGCCCGUCGCCCUGGAGCGCGGACUCGGCGGGGUCGCGCCCCAGCAGCGCCUGGCAGAGGAAGGAGAAGGCGGCGGCGUCGUUGUGGUGGCCGAAGUCGGCCUUGCCGACCCGGGCGAGCUCGUUCUCCACGACCCCGAAGAGGUCGCCGUACACCUCGCGGAACUUGGGGAUCACGUGCUGCCGGCGGUGCGAGAGGAGGUAGAAGAGGAGCGCCUUGAGCGGGCCGUGGCUGGGCUCGGCGGGGUCGAGGUACGAGAGCACGCGGUAGCCGCCGGUGAGGUCGGUGGAGGGCAUGAAGGUGCCCGUGAACAGGUCCGUCUUGUCGACGAGCGAGGUGUCGAAGAGCACCGGGAAGGAGGCGGCGUCCAGGAGCGCCACCACGCGCGGGUCGCGCGCCACGAAGGGGCCCGGCGGCAUGUUGAGCCGCACCACGGUGGAGCCGUGCGCGCGCACGCGGGAGGCGAAGAAGCCGUCGCGGCCGCCCGGCCCGUAGAAGUACUCGAACCGGUCGCGGACCGCGCCCAGCACCGGCGGGCCGUAGUCACCCGGCACCUCCCGCAGCGGGAGCCGGCGCUUCGGGGACAGCACCUCGCGCGGGCGGUCCGUCGCCGCCGACGCGCCCGCCCUGGUCGUCUGCCGCCGCAGGCGGGCGCGUGAUGACGGCGGCGGCGGCGGCGAGGAGAAGGAGAAGGAGGAGGGGAGGUAGGUCGCCGUGGCCAUCUGUUGAUCUAUCUGCUCGCGGACCGGCGCCGAAGUGUGGUGCGGUAUGCUAGAACGGACAGCGAGUGACGUGUGCAGUGGCGCUUUGCCGGUGUGGUUAUGAAUAAGGCGAGCGUGUCAGUACUGAGCCUCGACUGCGUUUUUAAAAGCGGGUGGGGAGGAGCAGAAGGUAGUUGCCUGUCGGCUGCGCGCGUCGGGGUGAGAAACGUGGUGGGCUUGAUGGCGCUUCGUCUAUUCUUGAUCCCGAGCGCCUUCAGUCCUUCACGGUCACCGGGGAGGCGGG
rnacentral:misc_RNA from 1 species